rnacentral:lncRNA from 1 species
GCGACACCGAGAAGGACGGCAAGGGCUACUUCGAGGACCGCAGGCCGGCCUCCAACAUGGACCCCUACGUCGUCACCUCCAUGAUCGCCGAGACCACGCUCCUCCUCUGAGCCACCCACCCACGGCCAUGCCUACCGCCGCCAGAUCAUGACACCCAGGCUCUCGACUCUCUCGAUCGAGGGUGGCGAUUGAUUAAUUUCUGCAAAACGUUUCGUGUUUCCAUUUCUUUUGCAAGGUCUAGUCUGUUUUUGGGGCGUGCCUUUGGUGUCUUUCACUUUACUCGUUCAGAUAAGAGUAAGAGUCUUCAGUCUACUCUGAAAAUAAUGUUGUUUUCGCAUUCCGAUAAAUGAAAUCAUGGAGCCGGUU